rnacentral:lncRNA from 1 species
CUCUUUUCAAUACCCGUUGCUCUUGUUUCUCCAUUCUUACACUCAACCAACCACUCCAUUUCCCACACAAGCUCUUCUUCAUUUUUUUUUUCUUUUGUAUUUCUCUCUUCACCACUCUUGCUGCAGCUAUAAUUUUGCCAGAAAACUAAAAAGCAUCAUCUUCAAUUUGUGUACGUAUUCUUCUUCUUCUUCUUCUUCUUCGUUUAUUUAACAUGUUUUGAAUAUACGAGUGGGUGUUUUUUUUUUUUGCUCCUUUUUUUAUUUAUAAUUAGUUGUUUGACAAAAUGAGCAACUCUAAGUUUUUGGAUUCUAAUGCUCUGUAAGCGUAUGAGUAAACAAUUUUAGCUAUGGGUGCAACAUUUAAGCUUUUAUUUUUUAUUAAUCAUAUUUUGGGCAUCUGUGUUCCUAAAUUUUUGAAUGUGUAAAUAAGGGUUCUGAGGAGUAUAACAAAGGAUGCAUCAAAGACCCAUUUGAGUGAAUAUGAUUGAGUUUACCUGACUUAUAAUUAUAUGUUUCUUCUGUGCAAAAUGAAUUAGUCAAAUUUUACUUUUGUACGGUGUGCAUGUAUGCACCUUCACUUUUGGUUUCAAUUGUAUUCCAUAAUAAUAGAAUUCAUAAAUUAAAAAAAAAAAAAAUUAUACCUUCCAAGGGAGAUGUUGAAGGGGGAUUUUGAGCUUAUAAUAUCAUUAUGUUUUUUAAGAUUAAUUUUCCGCAUGGGGAAUAAGGUUGUUAAUGCUGGGAGCCCUCAACUAUACAAAUGGAGAUAAAAGUGGGAACAAUGAACUGAAUUGAACUAUAUGAAUUGGUGAAUGUAAUCCAAGAAAUGGGUAAAUAACCAAAUGUUCUCAAGAGACAAAAGAAAAAUGUCUUAUAUCCUAUACAUAUACAUAUAUAAAAGAGUGAAGGAAUUGCUUGGACACGUGUCCUAAGUACCUAUCAUCCUGUACUUUUUUUUUUUUUUUUUUUUUUUUAAAUUUCCUUAAAAGAUUGAUGUUGCCAUUGUAACACUAAGUUUUUUGUACUAUUUUUUCUCCAUUCUUUCACUAGAUUUUGUCCACUUUUUCACUCGAUUUACCAUUCUUGUGGUACUUUUCUUCUUCUUCUUUAACUUUCUUCUUUUCUUCCCUUUCCAAAUCCAAAAAUUAGAUUAGAUUGCAAGCUUAAAUUGCAGUUUGAAUUGGUUUAUGUAAGUUACACUAUCAUUUACUUUUUUUGCUGUGAAUCCAUUCGAUUAAGCUGUAAUUAUUUUUUUCUUUAAUUGAUUUUGGCAUAUGUGUUGGUAUUUCUUUUUCAUUUUUCGCUCUUCUUGUACCUCUUCUUUAUCUUCCUUAACUUUCCUUUUUUCUUUCUUUACCUUCAUCAAUUAGUCAAUAAGAGUAAUUUUUUUAGUGUCAUCAACUAAUUCCUACUGUACUACAGUGCUUAAAAUUGUCAUUUGUGUUUAGUUGUUUGUGUAAUAGAUUUUGCAGCAAACGAAAAAGAAACUCAAAAUUCACGUCGACGAGAAGUAUACGCCCAAGCGAGAGAAUCGUGACAAAAAGGGCGAUUGAAAAUGAGAGCAACAACAUUUCGUGAUAGAAAAGCACAAAGAAUAGGUAUUUCUAUAAAUUCUAUUUGUUGUUUAAUUAUAUAUUUCUUCGAUUUAAAAUUUUCUUAUAUUUGCUUUAUUUGUGUUAUAGAUAAUUCUAUUAGUCAAUCUAAGGGAUUCAAAAGAAGUAUUGGUGAAGAAACUAACAGAGAAGAAACUGAUAAAGAAGAAACUGACAGAGGCAAGUUAUACUUUCACUUGAUUUUUUCAAGUUGAGGUUUUUAUAUUGGAAUUAAUUGCAAAUUGCGCAUUUGUUAGGUAUUGCUUCUUCAUCAGAAGAAAGUAGUUUAAAUGUACACAUUUUACAACAAAUUCCAACCUAGAGUUAUUUGUUACCUCUUGCAACAGUUCGUAAUUUCUGUGGAGCAAAGAAUUUUAAAGGAGAAAGUAAUGGUUUUUGUUGUUUUGAUGGAAUCAUUCAAUUAAAGAUAAAUGAUGUACCUUCAGAAUUGUAUGAUUUAUUUAUAUCCUCCUUCGAUCAAUCGGUUGAAUUUAGGACUUAUAUCCGAACUUACAAUUGUAGUUUCGCAUUUACUUCAUUUGGAGUAAAAUAUGAUAUAGACUUAUGUAGAAGGAAUAAAUGAGUAUAUACUUUUACAAUUCAGUGACCGAUAUAUCAUUACCUGAAUAAUCUUCUUCUUAUAGAUUCUAAACCUUCUUAUUUACAGCUUUAUUUUUAUGACACCGAG